UCUACGGGGUGCAGCAGUGGGGAAUAUUGGACAAUGGGCGAAAGCCUGAUCCAGCCAUGCCGCGUGUGUGAAGAAGGCCUUCGGGUUGUAAAGCACUUUCAGUGGGGAAGAAAGCCUUGGGGCUAAUACCCUCGAGGAAGGACAUCACCCACAGAAGAAGCACCGGCUAACUCCGUGCCAGCAGCCGCGGUAAUACGGAGGGUGCGAGCGUUAAUCGGAAUUACUGGGCGUAAAGCGCGCGUAGGCGGUCUGAUAAGCCGGUUGUGAAAGCCCCGGGCUCAACCUGGGAACGGCAUCCGGAACUGGCAAGCUAGAGUGCAGGAGAGGAAGGUGGAAUUCCCGGUGUAGAGGUGAAAUGCGUAGAGAUCGGGAGGAAUACCAGUGGCGAAGGCGGCCGUCUGGACUGACACUGACGCUGAGGUGCGAAAGCGUGGGUAGCAAACAGGAUUAGAUACCCUAGUAGUC
rnacentral:rRNA from 1 species